rnacentral:lncRNA from 1 species
UAGUGGAUAAAGAAUUACUCAUCUGGUUAUAGAAUCUGAAAAGGCCUGACCCAUUGAAACAUUUGUAGAAGGAGAAAUUCUUUGUGUAUCAUAGGCGGCGUAGAAAAUCCGACGUGAAGCAUAUUGUCUUAUCUGAUUGGUUCACGUAGUUACUGCUUUCUAAUACGCAUUUAAUGCCUACAAGUAGAGCUGUCAAGAU